AGCAUGUUAGCUCAGGGGAAGAGCGGUAUUUCUCACGUGACCUUCACAUUAUUCGAGUUAUAAACUAACAUAAUCACAGCCGGGCUCAUAACCCGGAGGUCCCUGGAUCGAAACCAGGACAUGCUA
rnacentral:tRNA from 1 species